rnacentral:rRNA from 1 species
GACGAACGCUGGCGGCGUGCUUAACACAUGCAAGUCGAACGGUGACGAGGAGCUUGCUCCUCUGAUCAGUGGCGAACGGGUGAGUAACACGUGAGCAACCUGCCCCAGACUCUGGGAUAACAGUUGGAAACAGCUGCUAAUACCGGAUACGAGACGGAGAGGCAUCUCUACCGUCUGGAAAGUUUUUCGGUCUGGGAUGGACUCGCGGCCUAUCAGCUAGUUGGUGAGGUAAUGGCUCACCAAGGCGACGACGGGUAGCCGGCCUGAGAGGGCGACCGGCCACACUGGGACUGAGACACGGCCCAGACUCCUACGGGAGGCAGCAGUGGGGAAUAUUGCACAAUGGGCGAAAGCCUGAUGCAGCGACGCCGCGUGAGGGAUGAA